GAUGAAGAACGCAGCGAAAUGCGAUAAGUAAUGUGAAUUGCAGAAUUCAGUGAAUCAUCGAAUCUUUGAACGCACAUUGCGCCCGCCAGUAUUCUGGCGGGCAUGCCUGUCUGAGCGUCAUUUCAACCCUCAUGCCCCUAGGGCGUGGUGUUGGGGAUCGGCCAAAGCCCGCGAGGGACGGCCGGCCCCUAAAUCUAGUGGCGGACCCGUCGUGGCCUCCUCUGCGAAGUAGUGAUAUUCCGCAUCGGAGAGCGAUGAGCCCCUGCCGUUAAACCCCCAACUUUCCAAGGUUGACCUCGGAUCAGGUAGGAAUACCCGCUGAACUUAAGCAUAUCAAUAAGCGGAGG
rnacentral:misc_RNA from 1 species